GGAGUCUGGUCCGUGUCUCAGUACCAGUGUGGGGGACCUUCCUCUCAGAACCCCUAAGGAUCGUCGGCUCGGUGGGCCGUUACCCCGCCGACUGCCUAAUCCUACGCAUCCCCAUCCCAUAGCGAUGAAUCUUUGCUCCCCGUCAGAGGCCAAUCAAGGGAGAACAUCAGGUAUUAAUCCGACUUUCGCCGGGCUAUCCUCUACUAA
rnacentral:rRNA from 1 species